rnacentral:rRNA from 1 species
AACGAACGCUGGCGGCAGGCCUAACACAUGCAAGUCGAGCGAGACCUUCGGGUCUAGCGGCGGACGGGUGAGUAACGCGUGGGAACGUGCCCUUUUCUGCGGAAUAGCCUCGGGAAACUGAGCGUAAUACCGCAUACGCCCUUUGGGGGAAAGAUUUAUCGGAAAAGGAUCGGCCCGCGUUGGAUUAGGUAGUUGGUGGGGUAAUGGCCUACCAAGCCUACGAUCCAUAGCUGGUUUGAGAGGAUGAUCAGCCACACUGGGACUGAGACACGGCCCAGACUCCCACGGGAGGCAGCAGUGGGGAAUCUUAGACAAUGGGGGCAACCCUGAUCUAGCCAUGCCGCGUGAGUGAUGAAGGCCUUAGGGUUGUAAAGCUCUUUCAGCUGGGAAGAUAAUGACGGUACCAGCAGAAGAAGCCCCGGCUAACUCCGUG